rnacentral:ncRNA from 1 species
AGAUGACAAAGGCAAAACCAUCUAAAGGUGGUGACGCAAAACCACGGGUCUAAAGUCGUAGACUAUGAUAGCCGGGUUGCCAUA